AAACUCCCGAGUCAUGUGAAAUCCAUGCAUUAGUGCCUAAUGAAUUCAUUUCAAUUGACUUAAUGACUUAUAUGAACUGUAACUCAGUAAAAUCCUUGAAUUUGUUGCAUGUUUUGCUAUUAUUUUUUUGUCAGUAGUUAACAAUGCUAAUAAUACCAUUAUGAGGCAAUGUAAGACUUAAUGUUAUGUUCAGAAAUGUGUAAGCCUAAUAGCAUAUUUGUUAACAUUUACAAAAUGUAUGCCAAAAUGUUGUUUAAAUAAAAAUACUUUUAGUUUUACCACCGUCCAUACCUGAAGUUUUUGCCGCUGUUUGUCGUCUCCAAACUCGCGCGCAUGGGCAUCAUUACUUCCGGGCAAAGCACAGGCAGCUGGCGUGACUGGACCAACAUGUAAAAAAUGUCUACAGCCCAGUCAGCUGCCCGUGAUUUGCAUCACGUUCAUGCGCUCGAGUUUGGAGACGACCAGAAGGCGCCAAAGCGUAUCUUUAGGUAAAUAUAGAGGUACAAGUAAAAUAUAUGAACUACAAUUGGGCAUGCGUUUUGUAAAUGUUAACAAAAAAUAGGCCUAUAAAUGUAUUCACAUAAGGGGUAACCCAACUCCAUGAUUUAUACAUAGGCUACUUACCUCAAAUCUACCUGUCUAACCGCAAGCUACUGUCGAUUUUCAAACAUUUCGACUGAGGUGAACAGCUUAAAAACAAUUUAAGCUUGUCAAUAAAUAAUAUUUGACAAGACUUGAGAAGUAGGCAUAUAUGUGUUUUGUUUUAGAGAAGACAUUUUGUGUAGGCAACAUGGACCGUGUCAACAGGCAAACUGUCCUAGUAAUAGUUGUGGCCUAAUUAAGCCCACAUAUGGUUCUUCUUAUAGGCUAGGUCUAUUGAAGGGUACAUUAUCCAAUGAUUGUGAAUAUUUUCUCUUUCCAUGAAAUUCAGUAGUCAAUAUAUGAAAUAGACCUAGAACUAUAUGUGAAUUUCUAUCUGUAACUUAUGUGACUAUAAGCCUACUUUUAAAACAAAUAAGAAAUGUAUGCCAUAUUAAAGAAAUGACAUCUC
rnacentral:lncRNA from 1 species